ACUUUUUUAAUUUACUUAUUUGGUUUGAAAUGUCUUUGGUUUCCUUCAGUUUAUAUGCUUCAAAUUUAUCAAUUUUAAUUAUAAAAUUACUUAAUUAAAUUUACUAAUUAAAUUAGAACUAAAUUAGAAGCACCAAAAAUUUGCCAGUAAGGUGUGCAGCCCAAACAACAAUAUUAUAAAGUGGAUGUAGCAAAGAAAGGAAGCAGAGCUGUUGCUAGAAUUUAUUCAGGGUAUUUACAAUUAAUCUAAUCGCUCCUAACUUCACUGCUCUAGCAGGUCAGGAGGUAGGGUGUUUAUGGCAUAUGGUAAUGUGAAUCUCUUCAUGUUCACAGAGACCUGGCCUGCAGACCUUAACCCCUCAGCUGGACGUAGCCCAGUGCCUUGGUGUCUCUGUGCCCUGCAAAUCCAGUGCCCACACCUCCCUGCUGGAACGCUUCGAUUCCCAGUUUGGAAGAAUGGCCUUGUGUUUAAGUUACAGGAUUGCAAUGCUCCCAGGCUAAAAAAGUGAAAAACUGUUUUCUUUCAACAAAUAUGGUUUAAUCUGUUCUUCAGUAAAUCUGUUAUUUUCAGCUUUCCCCCUGCAGAUUAGGUGCUGUCAGGCUAAGUUGGUUGGAUACCAGGUGGUAGGAGGGAAAACCUAAUUAUUUAAAAAAAAAACCCCAAAUCCUGCUUCGUAGACAGAGCUCAUCUCUUGUAAGUAGGUCAGAGUUAUUACAGAAAACAGCAGUAGUCAUACUAACAAUGGGCUCUGGUUUGUUUAAUAGGUCCUGUUAACAUUUAAAACUUUCUUCCCCUUUUAAAAUUUCCAUUCUGAAGUCAGAUGAUUCAUGACAGUAUGUUUUUCCUUUUGUGCUUAACCCCUUGACUCAGCAUCUCGGCGGCAGCACCGGGAAGCCGUGGUUGUGACUCCUGAUCCUCAGGUCUCUGAUGGAAGCACCCGAGAAUGGGUCCCGGGGAUUAAGGAGGAAGCAGAGGGUUUUGGUGAAGCAGACUCUGUUCUACGGAGGUGGGAAGGGAGAUCAGAGGAGCAGAGAGUGCUUGGUAUGGAUGACGUUCAGACCCAAGAGCAGCAGAGGCCAUGGAAGGUCAUGGAAGUGGACCCACAAGGCUCAGCAGCGUGGUGGGGCAAUGAACGUGACUCUACUUGGUUGUCUCAGCAAGUGGUGUGACACCAUUUCUUCUGAUAGCAUGACAGCUGAGAUUUUCUGAGGCACCUGAGGCAGGCAGCACCCGGAGAGCAAGAUUUUCUCAAUGAAGUGUGUUUUUUGCUCUGAUUUUCCUCUGCUGCUAUUACAGGCCAUGGACUUCAUGAACUGCAGCCCCUCCUCCAUCCUGUCUUUUAUGUGCAGCUCAGUUUUGGAGUUCGGAAGGCUUUUUGUGUGUUGAUUUUGUGCCCAUAUUGGAUACAUUUUAAAAAUACUUCUAAAUAUCUCUGCUUCUCGUAGAUAACUUUUGAUGGGGACAUUUGGAAAUAAAUGUGAACAAAUGCUGAACA
rnacentral:lncRNA from 1 species